CCUACGGGGGGCUGCAGUGGGGAAUAUUGGACAAUGGGGGGAACCCUGAUCCAGCCAUGCCGCGUGUGUGAAGAAGGCCCUCGGGUUGUAAAGCACUUUCAGUGAGGAAGAACGCCUGGUGGUUAAUACCCAUCAGGAAAGACAUCACUCACAGAAGAAGCACCGGCUAACUCCGUGCCAGCAGCCGCGGUAAUACGGAGGGUGCGAGCGUUAAUCGGAAUUACUGGGCGUAAAGCGCGCGUAGGUGGCUUGAUAAGCCGGUUGUGAAAGCCCCGGGCUCAACCUGGGAACGGCAUCCGGAACUGUCAAGCUAGAGUGCAGGAGAGGAAGGUAGAAUUCCCGGUGUAGCGGUGAAAUGCGUAGAGAUCGGGAGGAAUACCAGUGGCGAAGGCGGCCUUCUGGACUGACACUGACACUGAGGUGCGAAAGCGUGGGUAGCAAACAGGAUUAGAUACCCCUGUAGCC
rnacentral:rRNA from 1 species